UAAAAUGCUUUUACCAUUCUUUACACGAUUCUGAAGGACCCGAUCUCGUCUGAUCUUGGAAGCUAAGCAGGGUCGGGCCUGGUUAGUUUGGAUGGGAGACCACCUGGGAAUUCCGGGUGCUCUAUGGA
rfam:Rattus norvegicus chromosome 6, whole genome shotgun sequence.